GGGGAGGGGACGAGAAGGCAUAGCAUCAACGACUCAGACACUGGAAUCUGUUGAAAACCCAUGUGACCAACAUCAAGACCCAUUAUACUCAUGUCAGCUGCUCUGCAUUCUUCUGUUUUUUUCCUGAACAUAGGAGUGCAUGUCUGCAAUGCAAGGCAUUGAUCUCAUGGAUUUAGCAGUUGUAGAAGAUCCUUCCGAUGGUGGCAAAAGGUGAUCCAUGUGUCCCUCAUAGGGGCUCCCUGAGACAUAGACACAGCAAGCACAGAUUGGACCAACAGAAGGUCACUCAGACACAGGCAACUCUUGCACCUAUUGGAGGAAGAGAUGGGUAGACACCAGUGCAAAACUAUACACAACAACAUGGCAUCACCAGAGCCUAGCCCUUCUACAACAGCAAGACCUGAACAUCACAAUGUAGAAGAAGCAGAAGAAAGUGACCUUAAAAAUAACUUCAUGAAGAUGCUAAAGGUCUUUAAAGAGGAAAUGAAAAAUUCCCUUAAAGAAAUUGAGGAAAAGACAAACAAAAAAUUGGAAGAAAUCAAUAAAUCCCUUAAAGAAAGCCAAGAAAACCAUAAAAAAGCAAUUAAACAUGUGAAGGAAACAGUUCAAGACCUGAAAAGUGAAAUAGAAACAAUGAAGAAGACACAAACAGAGGGAAUGAUGGAAAUAGAAAAUCAGAGUAAACAAACAAGAAACACAGAUGCAAGCAUAACCAACAGAAUACAAGAGAUGAAAGAGAGGAUCUCUGGUGUAGAGGACACAAUAGAGGAAAUAGAUUCAUCAGUCAAAGAAAACACCAAUGCCAAAAAAGUAACACAAAAUGUCCAGGAAAUCUGGGACACCAUGAAAAGGCCAAACCUAAGAAUAAUAGGGAUAGAAGAAGGAGAAGUGUAGGGAAAAGGGGCUGGCUAAAGAAACUCACCCUGACCCUGGAGCCCAGAAUUAGGGAAGAAUGGCUCAGAUAAGGCCAGUGAGAGAAAUACAGUUUAGCUCCUAUCAGAGCCAUCUCUGCCCCGUCCAACUGACUUGUGAAACCAACCAAUCACAGAGCAAGAUAGUAUAACCCUGGGCCCGGGGUUGACUCCACCCCCUAGACUUCCUGUGUAAACCAUCCUGACUAGUCAGUUAGAAAGGAAGAAUGUUCUCUCCACCCUGGUAGAGGCAGCUACUCUCCUGGACUCCUCCUUCCCAAAUAAACCUCUUCCUCAAAAGAGUUUUUUGGGUGUGAAGAUCUUCAUUCACUGGCGUAGAGAAGAUCCUUGCUGAGACGUCCCCCAGUGGACAAGACAAGAGAGAGAGAGCCCAAAGAGCAGGGCAAGGAGGAGCUGAACAGAAGAUCUUUGCUAAGACGUCCCUCAGUGGACAGAGGGAACUAUAAGUAACGCUUUUCUCCAGAGCUGG